rnacentral:rRNA from 1 species
ACAGAGGGUGCAAGCGUUAAUCGGAAUUACUGGGCGUAAAGCGUGCGUAGACGGUUAUUUAAGUCGGGUGUGAAAGCCCCGGGCUCAACCUGGGAAUUGCAUUCGAGACUGAAUAGCUAGGGUGCGGAAGAGGGAAGCGGAAUUUCCGGUGUAGCGGUGAAAUGCGUAGAUAUCAGGAGGAAUACCAGUGGCGAAGGCGGCUUUCUGGGCCUACCCUGACGCUGAGGAGCGAAAGCGUGGGGAGCAAACCGGA